GCCCUGGUGGCACAAUCGGUAAGCGCGCCGUACUUAUAAUGCGGAGGUUGUGAGUUCGAGCCUCACUCAGGGCA
rnacentral:tRNA from 1 species